UGGGGAAUAUUGGACAAUGGGCGAAAGCCUGAUCCAGCCAUGCCGCGUGUGUGAAGACGGUCUUCGGAUUGUAACGCACUUUAAGUCGGGAGGAAGGGCAGUAAGCGAAUACCUUGCUGUUUUGACGUUACCGACAGAAUAAGCACCGGCUAACUCUGUGCCAGCAGCCGCGGUAAUACAGAGGGUGCAAGCGUUAAUCGGAAUUACUGGGCGUAAAGCGCGCGUAGGUGGUUCGUUAAGUUGAAUGUGAAAGCCCCGGGCUCAACCUGGGAACUGCAUCCAAACCAUGCGUAAUAGAGUAGGACAGAGGGUGGUGGAAGUACCUGUGUAGCGGUGAAAUGCGUAGUUAUAGGAGGGAACACCAGUGGCGAAGGCGGCCACCUGGGCUCAUACUGACACUGAGGUGCGAAAGCGUGGGGAGCAAACAGG
rnacentral:rRNA from 1 species